UUCUUGUAAGUGAUUGACGGGUGUCAUGUCCCGCCCCCGUAAUUUACUGAUCAUUUGGGCUAACUUCAGUCAGCCCACUGACUUCUGACCAAUAACAGCGAGUUAACACAGCGGUGCUGCUAUUUGUGCCAGAGUUGGGAAGGAGGGAGGAAAAGUUAAGCUAUGACAGGUGUUAGCAUGAACGAGGUGGAUUAUUUGCUUUCUUGUCCAUUUUCCUCAAUGUCUUUGGAGGAAAAGCUGGAAGUUAAGAGACUGGGAUCACAUCGGCCAAACGAUGUUCAAUAACUCAACGGGACAAACGACAAAAUCGUUCUACUGGAAUGAGAUCUGGUGACUGUGGAGGACAUUGGAGUACAGAGAACUCAUUGUCAUGUUCCAGAAACCAGUUGGAGAUGAUGUGAGCUUUGUGACGUGGAGCAUUAAUCUGCUGCAAGAAGCAUCAGAAGGUGGUCCACUGUGGUCCUAAAGGGAUGGCCAUGGUCAGCAACAACACUCAGGUAGGCUGUGGAGUUUAAACCAGGAGCAGUUGGUACUAAGAAAAUAUCCCCCACACCAUUAGACCACCAGCAGCCUGAACUGUUGACACAAGGCAGGAUGGAUCCAUGCUUUAUGCUGUCUAUAUCUGAUUUGUUUGGCCAUUUUCAGUCUCUUUUUGUUGUUUUUUGGCUCAUUUCUUUACUUUUUCAACCUUGUUGUUGUUUUUUGUGGAUUUGUUUUGCAUUUUCAAUCUAUUUUUGUAGUUUUUUUAUCUUAGUUUUUGUCAUUUUUUAAUCUCUUUUUGUUGUCAUUUAUUUUAUUUUGGUAUUUUAACCUUUUUGUAGUUUGGCUCAUUUUUUGCCAUUUUCAAUCUUUAUUUGUUGUUUUUUUAUCUCAAUUUUUGUCAAUGUAAAUCUCUUUUUUGCUUUUUUGGUCUCAUUUUUUUUUGUCAUUUUCAGUCCCUUUUCAUUGCUUUUUCAUUUUGUUAA